AGCGUGGUCUGCCUACGUUUUUGUUAAGGCAUCUUGAUGUGUGAGCUACAGUUGGGAAUUGCACCUCAAUAUGACUUCAAUUUGUGUUAACAUAACUGAGUUUGGUGACCCUCAGCAACUGAGCAUCAUGUGAAUGAAAGGGGUAUGUUAUGGGAUUACCCUGACACUUCUAUUUGAAUUUUUUCCAUUUCCUGUUUUCUUAAGCAGUACAAAAACCCUUGUAAAAGUCUGAAAAUAGCAACUACAUAGAUGCCAAGAAAAGAUUUGUAUUUCUUUUUGUCACAAGGAUAUAAAGCAUAGUGUUUUAAUUGCUGGCAAGAGAACAUAGCUGGGAGCUCCAGCCUGCAUACGACUGUCAUAACUAUUUCUGUCUCUAAAUGGUUGGCUUUGAGCAGAACACUAAAGAUGACAAAACUCAGCAAUCGUUUUAGGGAGCUGCUCAUUCUGAAAGUGAGAUACCAAACAUCUGUUUCUGACUUGUUAGCUUACAAGUUACCUUGAUGUGGGGAGAAAGAUGUUUCCUCAUUAUAUUUUCCCUACACAUUUAGCACUGAGUUUUAUUGGGUCUCCCUUUAUGCCUGGUACCUAUUCAUGAACAAAACUCUCUUGCAAAUGUGAUGUUUUCUAUCCAGAUCCUGCUGCUUGAGAGUAUAAGCUAAUACCAAAAUGAUGCUUUCACUUACUUAUAUUAUCACCCUGCUGUCAAAGAGGGCAUUCCUCCAAUACUCCCUUUGUCUUUCUGAAAAUUUACUGGAAAAGAGUCCUACAUCUGUUUAUUGCAGCACACAUCCCCAAAGUCCAAGUAACGUGCACAAGCAGAGACAGAUUGUCCUUGAGGGAUCUCAGGUGAAGAGGUCCAGGCUCUCUUUGUUCCAUUGCUACCAAUGACAUUUUCAAUACCAUUAACUGUAAUAGAUAGAGUGAGAAAACUGGAGAUUUCAGAAAGUACAGAUGGGGAGAAAGAUUAAAUCAAUUCUGUGAGACCAACUGCCUAAAUGAUUGCUUCUUAAGGUCCACUGGACAUAAAGGAAUGGUGGGAGAUACCAACUUCAUAAGUCAGGGCUACACUGAUCAUGAGAGAUCCAAAUAGUGGAACCAAACUGUCAGGUAUGUUUUGAAUUCCUGUGUCCUUUUGACACAACAGUGUACCUUUUCCUUUCAGUGUACCCAAGGCAUGACUGGAGUGUGCUACAUUCAACCUUUCCAAUUUUUAUCUCUUUCUGUCAUUUUUCUGUACAGUUCAACUAAGUCCCAUUGGCCUUCAGUUUCUCCUUCAUUGUGUCUCAGGAUAUUUAAGGGACAACCCUUUUCUCAUUAGAGAGCCCUAGUCCCCUGGUAGUGGGAUGCAGUGAGAAGGUUUACUUACUUGAAUAACUGGAGAGGGACAGAAAUAAGACUUCUGUUAGAGUUCAGACUUGGAUGCUUCUUAUUAGUCUGAAUCUCUUAGACAAUCUUUCAAAUGCACUGAGUACCUAACAAACACGUGUUCAUGUCCCUAAUCUCUAAAUGUGAUUCACAUUUUUAGAAAAGUUUCAAAUUGCUUAUUGUUAAAGGAGUAAGCCUUCUUUUUGCUACUGAAUAGGAAAUGUGUUCAGAAUAAAGAAAAUGUUGAUCCCCAAAAGCAAAACUUGCUUUUUCGUUUUUUUUUUUUUUUUCCACAGGACAGCUUUCCUUAGCCUCUGCCUAUUUGAAUGCUUCUAGCUCAUUUAAAGGAGGAAGAAACACCAGCCUUCCACUAACAAAAUGAAGCCUUAUGUAAGGGUACAUUUUCCAGCUCACUUCAAAAGGAUAUCCACUGAGUUUGUAGAGGUUGCUUAUUUUCUGUUGGGGACGAUAUUGUCCCUUAAUUAGGCUUUUCAAAUGUAAAUUCUCAGCAAAUGAAACAUUUUAAGGAUAAAAGCAUUUGUUUGUGCCAUUAUGCCUCAAAAUGUCAACAAAUCUGAGUCUGUAAUCUCCAUAUGUUUUGAUUACUUGCUAUCAUAGAAGCUUCUUGCAAAGCAAAACUUUUCUUUACAAUCUAGCAGUGUCUACUCUAGACUUACACCUGGUGCCAGUACUCUUGCAACUGACGUAUGACUGUUUGAGUGGGAACAAAACCACGUUGACAGAUGGGCAUAAAUUCAGGGGUGCCAAACAACCAGUGUCUGCACUAGCUUUGAAUACUAACUGGCCAUUCAUACCCUGUAGUGUCGAACAACAGCCUGUUCAUAGCUCCAGGCCAUUAGGAGAGGAGGAGGGGGAGAGUAGAACACGUAGUGAAAUUAAUGAGGAGAUUUUAGCAUUGUUUUUAAUACUAUAAAACUAGAUGAUACGUUGCAAUAAAAAAUGUCAAACAUCUGUAUUUAGCGAAUCGAGUUCUCUAAAUACGUGCAUAGAAGGAAAUCAGCUUCAGAGUAAGCUGCCCUGUAUGUGGCCAGCUGCUGAGGAACACUGAAAGAAAUCAGAAAGAAAUUCUUUGCCCAGCAUUCUGCAGAUAGCUUCUUUGGCUGCAGUGCUGAGUUUUUGUAGCUUGCUCAAAUGAUCUUCAGAAAUGGCUCAUAGUGCUAAACUAUCCGUAGUUAUCACCGAGUGAUUCUGGCUUUUUUAUUUUUCUUUUCUUAUGUUUUAGAGAUAGAGGGUCUGUUUCUCAUCACGUGCUUUCUACAGUGGCCUGUGCAAUGAACCAGGUACAUAGCAGCAGUGUUCUGCAGCUACUCUGUUAGUUCCACGUCACUUUUCAAAGAAAGAUUUUAAAAUUCAAGAAAUUACAUAGAACACAAGUUGCUAAGUAGAAAGAAACAGUUCAGCUGACUCAAGUUCAUAUACUCCUCAUCAUGCAGUUCUUUUGGGGAUAUGUACUCGCAACUUGUGAAUAAACAGUACUCCUUGCUCCGCUGAACUAUACACUGCUGGCUUUUGUACACUGUACUCGGCAAGGAUUUGUUUCCUUUAUUUGUAAGGAAAGCCUGAGACCUUGUGGGAUGACUGUCAGUCCUCCUAUUUUUUAAUAAUUCCUUUCCACUCGGAGAUAUUGAACCUCUUGGCAGUGGCUUUGGGUAAGGUAGCUUUACUCAGGGGAAGAAUUUUGGCAGGGAAAAGACCUUUAUCGUUUAGGGCUUAUUAAUGCAGCCAGAAUUCCGCGAGUCUUUGUGCUUGGUGUUUUCUCUUGGCUAGCUUCAGGCUUUCAAAAACAUUUAGUCAAAAGGAAACACCAUGCUCAGGGGCUUAGAUGGAAUUUAGGACAUCUGAGUAACUCUCAGAGUGUAUAAAAUAAACUAGCCUUUAUCUGGACUGAGGUUGUUGACUCUUUUAGGGCAUGAAUGUUUAGGAUUUAAUUUAUGGUUUUGGCUGCAUGGCACAGGUUUCAUUUAAUUUUCCUUCCAAGCGCAUGUUGAAAUAUGUUUAUAACAGUUUUCUGAACCAACUUUAGGUUUGUAACCAGACACAAGGGUGAAUAACACUGGUUGACCUCCUAUAGCAUGGAAUUUAAGAGUUUUUUAAAGAUGACCUUCUGUUGUGUCCAAGUUUCCUGUUUUAUUUUUCCAUACACAUGGUUUUUUUUCAAUUUCUAAGAAGCAUAUCCUUCAGAUUAAGGAAAGGAGCAAAAGAAGAAAUUUCCCCUCUGAAAGGGAAAGUGUUUCUGAGAUAUCACUCCUUAUUAUCCGCUUAUUAAUGUGUGGUGGUUUAGGCCACACUGGCUUCAUGUGUAGAGACAGCACUCAGUUUAAAUAUCAGUGUGGGAAAAAAGAGGACUGAAACUAUUUUGAAAAUAUCAUAGAAUUCAUUUCCAAGAUGGCAGCAAAAUCCUCUUUUUUUGGGAAAAGAGUACCAACUCUGGUCAUAGUCCCAACAUUUAACAGGCUUGAAUAAGUAUUUGGUGCAUCGUUUGGAAAUUUCAGAGAUGAAAUUCACCAUUAUAUUCUGCAGAGGACUGAAACUUUUUCUAAACUGUUCCUCUGUAUUAUGAAAUCAGUAACAUCUGAAAAAUAUAAAAACAUGUAUUUUCCUGUAAAAAUAGUACUGUGUAAAAAACUGUACUGUGUUUCUUCUGUGCCUUGAUCUGAGAAAUACUUACAUGUAUGUUCAUUCACACUAUUAAGAGAGCAACCAUUGCAGCCUAGAGAACUGUUGUAAGCACAGAUGAGCUAUGAAGCACCCUACACACACUUCUUCCUGGAUGACAGCUUUUGGCAGUUCUGUUUAAUUUGUCUCUCAGGAGAAAGGCAUGAAAUGUAGGCACACAAGUGCUACAGAGAAGUGGCAUGCGCUCCAUGCCUGCAGUGUUGCUUGUGAUAGGGCAGGAGGCAUGGAAUGUUUUUUGUGGCUGGUGCACUUCUUGUCUGAACAUCACUAUAGGAUGUCCUGCUGAUUUCAGCUUCAUCAGAUCCUAAGUAGAGAAUAUUAGAGACCACUUCCUGCCUGUAGCCCUGAUAAGUAAACCUCAUACUGGAUUUUCCUAUGCAUGUAAUGUUCCCAUGACCCAUGGGAAUUGCAGAUAGACUUUUAAGGUUAAAUUAUGAAAGUCAUAUGACCUGAACAACUGAGGACAACUAUUCCUCAAUUUCUACCUCUUUAAGGUAUAUAUCUGCACUUGUGGCAGCUGGCAAUCUCAUUUGAGACAGCUGCUUAGUAUGCUAAAACCCAGAACCUCAGCUAUCUUGCUUUUGAGUUUUUUUCAUGUGUGAUUGCUCUUUAAAGGGUGUUUAUUUUCAAAAAUCAAUAUUCUAAAAGACAGAAGAACUCCUGUUAAACAUUGACUUUCUCUUUAAAUGCCACAUGUUGUAAACCUUCCAUCUGCUCAUCACUUUCUAGACAGAUGCGUGAAAGAAGCUAUCGUCCCUUCUGCCUCUAAAAUAUUCUCCCCGCUUCUCUGCUCCUGCAACCUUUCUUUCCACUCUUCACUCUUCCAAUCUCUCUUUCUUUACUUGAUUUCUACUACCUCUACUAUUUUAAUAAAAAUCUUGCAUUUCUGUUUACACCUUUUCAGUUCUCUCAGGCAUAGAGCUGCCAUGUUUGGGAUAUUAACGGAGAUGUAAACCCUUAUCCCUGCUCCCAGACCUGAGCAGGAAUUUGGAAGAAGAUGGUGCUUCAGUGGUAAAACAUAAUUUUGUAAAGAAUUUUUGUAAAAUAUACUGCAGAACCUAUGAAACUGUGUUUCAAGCACUGCUUUUUGUUCUGAAGCCUAUGUAUUAUUUUUAGUGGUUCUGUUAUGAUCUCUAAACAGCAGAAGAUGUGCUGCAAGGUGAAUGCCUGCACAGUAGUGACAGCAGCUUUUCCCAAACCUAAGCAGCCUCACAAACUAACUGUAUAGUAUUUAUCUAUGCCCUCUUUGCUGCUUGCUGGUGCUGAUAUAUCACAGGGAGCGAAGGAUAUGUUUUUUUCCUUAUAUGGCUUUGAACAAAAAAGGAAACCUUAAGACCAGACCUGAGGAUCAUGUUAUGGUCUGCAAAGUCACAUCACGGCUAGCAUAGUGUGAGUUGUUUUCAAGCAAGUUUCAGUCUCAGCUUUGUCCACCUGGUGCAUCUCCUACUACUGUACAAGGAAGAGGAGGAACCCACAAGACAAAGUGAAGGAUGAUCAUGACACUGCUCUAAAGUACUUAAUCUCAGUGUAGCCUGACCUGGGCAGAAGACUGUGGUCUGGGGUGGGUAAUUUUGUUCUACCUCCAAGAGUGCACCAGGCAGACCUGAUUCGGAAGAUGCUGAGACAUAUUGAUAAUGUCUGAGUAGGGACACCACCCAGAGAGACUUUGCAGAAAACCAGCCCUUUAAUGGUGGUUUGAAUAUUUGCUUAGAGGGGUUUUGAGCUCCUACCUUGUCUGGAAUAACUCAGGUAUAAGGCCAUUCGUGGCCAUUAGCUUGGAGCUUGCUGAACCACUCCUAUUGAAAUGGUUACUCUUUCACAUGAAUAAUUAAAUAUUUGGUAGAUUAAGGACUGGGCACUUUACAUAGAUCCAAUGUUUAUGAUGUAUCUGAAUGAGAAAAGUUGUUCAUGGUAGUCUUCGCUGCAGUCAAUGUUUGCUCUCUCUCUAUAUUCAUUAAAGUCUGACUGGACUGUCCAAGGAAAAUCCAAGGAACAUUAAUUUGGAGCUUGUAUUUUCCCCUUCUUUUUAACCUUACUUUUUGCCACAAAAAUCAUAAAAUAGUUUUACAAGCCAACAAAUGACCCAUGAGACAGAGCUAGCAACUUUGGCCUUAGAAAAUGGAAGCAUGCUUACUCUUGAGUUUUCUUUUUCCAGUUGAUUUUCUUUGUUAAAGGAGAAAGCAUUGUCAGAAUCGUUACUCUCUAGUGCUUGCGCUUAGGCAAAGAGAGGGCUUGGAUGUGGGUCCCUCCAAUCUGAUACUGAAAGAGUGAAUUAAAAGCUGGUGAGCUCCCUGCUGUCUUUAUAAGCGCCUCCAGAUCCUGGGGAGAAAUUAUAGCUGAUCUUUCUACAAAGAGAUAUGUAUUUAUCUGCAGUGGAGAACAGCAUGUUUGACACUUGAGAAGAGAAAUGAAACUUACUCCAUCCCUUUCCUCAGCCUUUUUUUUUUUUUUUUUUUUUUUUUUUUUUGCCUAUUUCCAUCCUAAUUGCCCAAGGAAUUUCCAGCUCAGAAUGCUGGCCUCUCUGAAAUCUAGUCCUCGCUAUAGCUUCUUGAUAUGCUGCAAUAUUGGUCAGGCAACCAUAUAGUUAAAGUUAAGAUCACGUUUAGCACACACUUCCCAACAGUAGAUCUAGUUUUGAGCCAUUCAGACUUGAAUUUAAGAGGUGACUAGAGAUUUGAAAUAAUUUAAGGCAUUCAAAAAUCUUUUCAAAUUGUGACAUCAGACUGUUUAAAAAUGUUACUGUGUAGAUAGAUUGGGAAAUGAAAAAAAAUAUUUACAGAAUAUGCAGGUAAAAGUGUGAAACACCAAGCAGACGGGUAACAAGAAAAAAGAAAUUAUGAGGUGAGUACCAAGUUCACCUUUUGACUUUCCAAGGUGCUGCAGUGUGUUUAAAAGUUGUGUUGUGCUUUUGGCCUACGUGUGACUCUUUGGCCGCUGUCUUUUCAGCAGGUCCUGGAGGGAAUAUGCCUUGACUGGGCCCAGAGAUGAGAAUCCCCUGUGCUUUAAAAAAAAGGUUCCCUUUAGCUAAUUUCAUCUUGUUUUGCUCCCUGACCUAUGAAACGGAGCAUUCAUCCAAUGACAGUCUGCUUCAGGCAUAUCUCUCUUCAAACCUGAACUUCUUCCACUAACGAACUCUCUAAGGUCACAUACCUGCGUACACGCAAAGUGGAAGAUGAAGUCGCGCACAAACUGAUGUAGAGGCCAAAGAAAAGUUCUUAAUGAGCAUCAUAAAAAAUGUUGAUUGGUCUAUUUGUAGAUUUAUAUACUACAUUGGCUCUUGUGGCAAAGGCAUAAAGUUGUUCGCUGGGUACAAUCUUUAUUUGGUAUAGCUCAGGAUUCUGUGCUGUUGCUGGAGAUUCCUCAGACCACCUCCAACAUGGAAGGACAGUGAAGACAUGAAGACACCAUCCCCUAUCUCUUUUACACAAAUGAGAAACAGUGAGAAUCAGUUAGCUUUUGCUAAAGAAAGUUGUGGUGCUUUCUGAUCCCAGUGGUUUUCCC
ensembl:lncRNA